rnacentral:rRNA from 1 species
CCUACGGGGGGCAGCAGUGGGGAAUAUUGGGCAUUGGGCGCAAGCCUGACCCAGCAACGCCGCGUGAAGGAAGAAGGCUUUCGGGUUGUAAACUUCUUUUGUCAGGGAAGAGUAGAAGACGGUACCUGACGAAUAAGCCACGGCUAACUACGUGCCAGCAGCCGCGGUAAUACGUAGGUGGCAAGCGUUGUCCGGAUUUACUGGGUGUAAAGGGCGUGUAGCCGGGUUGACAAGUCAGAUGUGAAAUCCUGCGGCUUAACCGCAGAACUGCAUUUGAAACUGUUGAUCUUGAGUACUGGAGAGGCAGACGGAAUUCCUAGUGUAGAGGUGAAAUGCGUAGAUAUUAGGAGGAACACCAGUGGCGAAGGCGGUCUGCUGGACAGCAACUGACGGUGAGGCGCGAAAGCGUGGGGAGCAAACAGGAUUAGAUACCCCAGUAGUC